AAAAAUAACCUAACUGCUACCGCCCGCAACCGCAAAUGCUUGCGGGAAUGAGCUUUUGAAAUCUGGCGAUUUUGAACGGUGUAAAGCAGUAUCUAGCGGUUUCUAUGAUUGAUGUCAAUCGCUAACAAUCGCUAGCACCCGCAAAUACAGCGUUUGCGAGUGACAAAGGGAAAACCAAUUAAACCCUAAGUAAUUGUCUUUGUCUUUGAUAUUCCUUUCUUCUGACCC
rnacentral:sRNA from 1 species